UAACUAAAAGAGAUUAAGAAAUAAUAAGAAUUACAAACCGAUUUGUACAAAUUCCUACAAAUUACACAUACUAAGAGGGAGAGAUAGAUUAAUGUCAAACGUGACAAGGUCCAAUUAAAACAGUAAUUAAAACACAUUCCCAAGGUUCAAACAAUUUGAUUUUAGCACCUUAUCUCAUAGCUCAAUUAUCGUUUAAGGCAUAAGUCCAUAGUCACCCAUUUUUAUAACUACUUAAUCACAUUAAAUAAUCAAAUGGAAUGCAACAUAAACAAUUAGAUUUAGUGCAUAUGGGCAUAAUAGUAUUAUGAGUUUAAACAACUAACAAAAUUAAAAUCAAAUAUUUUAACUUUCUAGUUAGUAGGGGCCUAAAUGCAAAUAUGAAAAAGUUAGGGGUCAAACCGUAAAUACUCAAAAGUAUAAAAUAUCUUUUUCCAAAUUACAAAAAAAAAAAACCCCACAAGUAGAUAAAUCCACUAGGGUGGCCGGUCACAUUAAGGGGAGAUGAGAAGUCUCACCCAUCUUGCUUUAAUUCAAUGCAAGGUAGAAAAAUCCAAAUUUGCUUGUCACUUGGUUUUGUCAUUAAAACUUAGGUGAAAAGGGUGAUGGAAAUUUCCUGGUCAAGUCUAGGAUUUAAAAAAUUUUGGGAAAGCUAUGGAUGAUAAGUAUAUCAUCCAAAACCAUAAAACAAUUUAUUAAAACCAAAUAAAACCAUUUUCUCCCAAAAACAAACCAUGAACACCAAGAACAAAACCAAGAACACUUUUUCAAGAUUUGUGUAUUCUUGGUGAUUUUUCAAACCCAAAAACUAAAGUGACAAGGCUCUACUUUCUAGCUUUAAAAUGAUUUGUGAGUGUCUUACAAUAAAACACAAACACAUGCCCAAAAAAUCCCCUUAAUGCCGUGCCUACCACAAGGAACAAAACCCCAAAUUUUGUUCAAAACUUACUCUUCAUUC
rnacentral:lncRNA from 1 species